AGCGAACGCUGGCGGCAGGCUUAACACAUGCAAGUCGAACGGGCACCUUCGGGUGUCAGUGGCAGACGGGUGAGUAACACGUGGGAACGUGCCCUUUGGUUCGGAACAACUCCGGGAAACUGGAGCUAAUACCGGAUAAGCCCUUCGGGGAAGGAUUUAUCGCCAAAGGAUCGGCCCGCGUCUGAUUAGCUAGUUGGUGAGGUAAUGGCUCACCAAGGCGACGAUCAGUAGCUGGUCNGAGAGGAUGAUCAGCCACACUGGGACUGAGACACGGCCCAGACUCCUACGGGAGGCAGCAGUGGGAAUAUUGGACAAUGGCGCAAGCCUGAUCCAGCCAUGCCGCGUGAGUGAU
rnacentral:rRNA from 1 species